CCCCAGGAGCCCCGAGGCCCAGCUAUGAGCCGCGCUGUGAGUCGGCCCAGGCGGACGACCACGGCCCCGACUCGGCCAGCAUGCUGAGCAAGGCCGACGUGGCGUACAUAGCCCUAGAGCUGCUGAUCGCGGUGCUCUCCGUGGCCGGAAAUGUGCUGGUGUGCUGGUCCGUGUGCCUCAACAGUAACCUUCAGAGCAUCACCAACUUCUUCGUGGUGUCAUUGGCGGUGGCCGACAUCGCCGUGGGCCUGCUCGCCAUCCCCUUCGCCAUCACGGUCAGCACGGGCUUCUGCAGCCACUUUCAUGGAUGCCUCUUCAUCGCUUGCUUUGUUCUGGUGCUUACACAAAGCUCCAUCUUCAGCCUGCUGGCCAUUGCCUUGGACCGCUACGUCGCCAUCACCAUCCCACUGAGGUACAACAGCCUCGUGACAAGCCAGCGAGCCAAAGCCAUCAUUGCCGUGUGCUGGAUUCUCUCAGUGGUCAUCGGUUUGACUCCCAUGCUGGGCUGGAACAUGCGGUCCACAAUCAGCCCCAACAGUUCCUGCCCCUCCGGUAUGACAGAGUGCCUGUUUGAGAAGGUGGUCACAAUGGACUACAUGGUUUACUUCAACUUUUUUGGCUGCGUGCUCAUGCCACUGCUGGCCAUGCUGGUGAUCUAUGCCCGGAUCUUCAUGGCUGCCCGGGAGCAGCUCUGGCGGAUGGAGCAGAAGCUGUCGCUAGGUCACGGCCAUGUCGAUGGCUCCUCCUCUUCCCGCUCCAGGCUACAGAGGGAAGUGCACGCGGCCAAGUCACUGGCCAUCAUCGUGGGCCUCUUCGCACUGUGUUGGCUCCCCCUGCACAUCAUCAACUGCUUCACGCUUUUCUGCCCGCUCUGUGCCCGCCCUCCGGGCUGGAUCAUGUACUUGGCCAUUAUCCUCUCGCACGCCAACUCAGUGGUGAACCCAUUCAUUUACGCCUACCGCAUCCGGGACUUCCAGCACACAUUCCGCAGGAUCAUUGGGCAGCAUGUCCUGAGGCAGCGCAGCGGCUUGCUCAGCGGCAGCACUGCAGCUGGGAUCACCACCACUACCUCCGUUAGUGUUGUGGAUUCCUCAUUUGGCACCAUGGCCAACGGCAGCACACUGGGCCAUAGCCACCCUCGAGGUUGUCACCAUGGAAGUGUAAAUAAAACACCCUCCACGGGUAGCCAGUGGAAGCCCAGGUCAAACCACAUGGGUACAGACUGCAGGUCUGCUGGGCGUUGCCCUACAGAAGAAGCCUUUUCUGCCCAAUCAAAGCUUUGCUCAGUAGGCUGUUCUGAUUGGGCUGUUAAGGACAUUUCCUCUAGUGAGAGCAAUGCAGAAAUCAUGGUGGUAAAGCACUGUAGCAUUAAUACCAAUAUAAAUUUCAGCUCUUUUCCCACAAGGACCAGUUAUUCAGAUCAUGAUGUCACUAUUGUGGAAUUGAGGGUGACCUAAUUCUUGCUACUGUCUGGAACCAGAUAAGGCAAAGGUUUCCCAGUGCAAACAAAUAAAAAGGGCUCAACACGACCACCCAACGGAAAGCACUCAACAGAGCGGACUUUGAACCUCAUAGCAUUAAAAAAGGAUGUCAAGAAAAAAGCUACAUGGCUAGCUCUGGGGUGGGAAACAGCUGCACUAAAGCACUGCUUUUUGUAAAACGUGAUGCUUGCAUGAAAGGUGAAGUGAAAGCACACAUCCAAUGACAUGGACAUCUACUCAGAAAAGGUGGAGACCUUAACUUCUAUUUACAAACGGAAUAAAGGGAUGGAUGGAAGAGGCACCUGAAAAUGUUGAAUUGUUUUUGUACCUAUGCCUCAGUGGAUAAAGUGCUUAUUUGUCCUGCUUUAACGUUUACUACCCGAUCACCUAAAAUACAAGAUUAUGCAUUACAAUGCACAUUACAAAGAGAAGUAUAGAGCCAAAUGAGACUUCAGAAAAUGUGCUUUUUUAAUAAUAAUUUUAUUCAGCAUCUUCACAUUAUUUGCAUGGUGCAGGCAGAACUCAUUACAUAUGAUAGCACAAGUCAAACUGAAAUCAACCUGAACAUGAAUCUGUCUAAAAGAACAUUACUGCCCCUUUUUGCCCGACAUGUCUCUAGUCAUUUGUACUAAGAAUUCACCAUGCAGUGUAUAGAUGAAGUUUAGCUGUUUUCUUGAUGCUUUUUUUCAUGACUUUUAGACAGGGCAAAGAUGGCACUGUUAUUGCACACUGUGGCAGUAGACAGCUACAUCCUUUAAUGAGACAAAUGCCCUGUAUAAAGAGCUGUGGUCAGUGUAUCCCCAUUCAAGAAGUUUGCUCUGGUGUAAAUCAGACUAGGAUAAAGCUAACACGCUAUCAGUAAGCCACAUAGAUCAGCAGUUGCAGACAUAUUAAUUCAAGUGGUAAAAUGAUGUUUGGAGAUGUUGAGAGUUACUGUGUAAUCAACAGCCUGGCUCCUGAUCACAGCCUUUUAGACUGGCUUUGCGCAUGUUUGGCUGCAUGGAGGUUUGCUUCUCUUCUGUAGUUCUGGUGAAGGUAAACUUCAUUUGAUCCUUCAGAUGUAUAAACUUUCAUAAUUACAAGGUCAAUUUCAAGUUUCAGCACAGCUCCUGAAGCAGUCAUGAAACAAAUAUUCCAUCAUGAAGUGUAUUAUUAAAAAGCCCUCAUGUCUGAUUCCUUAAGUAGGCUUUAAAAUGCUAUGAAAAGGUUAGGCUUUAAAAUGCUAUGAAAAGGUCAGGUAAUGGAGAACAUUUCUGUUAUGGUGUUUACAGUUGUCAGGUAUGAUCAUAUUUCAACAAUUAUAGUGGAGGAAAUUUGGGAAAUAAAGUAGGGUUUGUACUGCUCUAGAAAUACAUGUCUUUUACAAUUUGUGCUUUACAUCAAUGCCAUGUUAGUUUUUACAAUACUGCAAAAUUAGAUAAUAAAUCUCGGUUCAUAUGCAUUAGUAAUAUUAUCUCUGUUUUGUCUUAAAGACAGAGGGAGUUACAAUGACCUGAGCCAGUCAACAUCUACAUUUCUCUGGCACUAGAUUGGCCAGGGUAAAAGACAUGCUCAGUGGUGUUCAAGUUAAAUCCUUCAAGAACAUUCCACUUUUUAGACCUCAAAAUCUAAAAGUUGGUUUAGUCAUAUAUUUUGGCUUAACAUACUGCUUCAUGGGGAAUGCCAUCCAUUUUAAGGCAUUUGAUUCACCACCAUCC